GCAGGAUCCCACCCACAGAACCCCCAGGCGCACAGCUGCAUAUCCUCAGGGGAAAGCUCCCCUCCCCUGCCACCUUACUGAUAGUCUUCACUUCCCCAAGACAGAACUUUUCCACUCCUGUGCAAUGCCUGAGUGGUACAUUGUAUUCUGUGAGAAUAGCGCCCCCACCCCCAGAGUUGCACAACAAGACCUCCAUGAAUGAAAGCCAAUGGCUGGCUGCUUCCUCUAGCCCUGCAGAGCCCAGGCACAUCUGAAAGGAGUGAGAAGUGUUUUGAGGGCUCUCCCUGUCUCUUCCUGCACCUCUUUCUUGUGAUCCCAGGAGCUACAACCUCAGCUCAGAUUAGUGGGCUAGAGGGUCAGGAGGCUGUCACUGGAGCUAUUGAGCUCAUGAACACACUGAAGUUGCUGCACUCCAGAAAUGUAGAAGUUGGAAUGAAGAGCCACCACUGCUGCCACCAACAUGAAGCUUGACCAAGCAAGCCAAGAAAAGAUGGCCAACAGCCUCUGCCUUCCUUCUGCCUUCUGCAACGCAAUUGGUGAGCUGCACAUCCACAACUUCAAGGGAGUCUGGGAAAUGCAGUUAAGCUUUCUAGCCUCUCUAACAUUUCAACUGUUACAGACAGGAAGAGACUGGAAUAAAUGCUGAGUGCCAAUUUCCAA